UACGAAGGGGGCUAGCGUUGCUCGGAAUCACUGGGCGUAAAGGGUGCGUAGGCGGGUCUUUAAGUCAGGGGGGAAAUCCUGGAGCUCAACUCCAGAACUGCCUUUGAUACUGAGGAUCUUGAGUUCGGGAGAGGUGAGUGGAACUGCGAGUGUAGAGGUGAAAUUCGUAGAUAUUCGCAAGAACACCAGUGGCGAAGGCGGCUCACGGGCCCGAUACUGACGCUGAGGCACGAAAGCGUGGGGAGCAAACAGG
rnacentral:rRNA from 1 species